GACAGAGGGGGCAAGCGUUGCUCGGAAUUACUGGGCGUAAAGGGCGCGUAGGCGGGAUGGCAAGUCGGUCGUGAAAUCCCUCGGCUCAACCGAGGACGUGCGGAAGAAACUGCAAGGCUCGAGUCCGGAAGAGGGGGGCGGAAUUCCCAGUGUAGCGGUGAAAUGCGUAGAUAUUGGGAGGAACACCAGUGGCGAAGGCGGUCCCCUGGGCCGGAACUGACGCUGAGGCGCGAAAGCGUGGGUAGCAAACGGG
rnacentral:rRNA from 1 species